rnacentral:rRNA from 1 species
AGUGAACGCUGGCGGUAGGCCUAACACAUGCAAGUCGAACGGCAGCACAGUAAGAGCUUGCUCUUACGGUUGGCGAGUGGCGGACGGGUGAGGAAUACAUCGGAAUCUACUUUUUCGUGGGGGAUAACGUAGGGACACUUACGCUAAUACCGCAUACGACCUACGGGUGAAAGCAGGGGAUCUUCGGACCUUGCGCGAUUGAAUGAGCCGAUGUCGGAUUAGCUAGUUGGCGGGGUAAAGGCCCACCAAGGCGACGAUCCGUAGCUGGUCUGAGAGGAUGAUCAGCCACACUGGAACUGAGACACGGUCCAGACUCCUACGGGAGGCAGCAGUGGGGAAUAUUGGACAAUGGGCGCAAGCCUGAUCCAGCCAUACCGCGUGGGUGAAGAAGGCCUUCGGGUUGUAAAGCCCUUUUGUUGGGAAAGAAAAGCAGCAGGUUAAUACCCCGCUGUUCUGACGGUACCCAAAGAAUAAGCACCGGCUAACUUCGUG